rnacentral:rRNA from 1 species
GUGGGGAAUCUUGCGCAAUGGGCGAAAGCCUGACGCAGCCAUGCCGCGUGAAUGAUGAAGGUCUUAGGAUUGUAAAAUUCUUUCACCGGGGACGAUAAUGACGGUACCCGGAGAAGAAGCCCCGGCUAACUUCGUGCCAGCAGCCGCGGUAAUACGAAGGGGGCUAGCGUUGCUCGGAAUUACUGGGCGUAAAGGGCGCGUAGGCGGACAGUUUAGUCAGAGGUGAAAGCCUAGGGCUCAACCUUGGAAUUGCCUUUGAUACUGGCUGUCUUGAGUACGGGAGAGGUGAGUGGAACUCCGAGUGUAGAGGUGAAAUUCGUAGAUAUUCGGAAGAACACCAGUGGCGAAGGCGACUCACUGGCCCGUUACUGACGCUGAGGCGCGAAAGCGUGGGGAGCAAACAGGAUUAGAUACCCCGGUAGUCC